GACGAACGCUGGCGGCGCGCCUAACACAUGCAAGUCGAACGAGCGAGAGAGAGCUUGCUUUCUCGAGCGAUUGGCGAACGGGUGAGUAACGCGUGAGGAACCUGCCUCAAAGAGGGGGAUAACAGUUGGAAACGACUGCUAAUACCGCAUAAGCCCACGCUUCCGCAUGGCACAGAGGGAAAAGGAGCAAUCCGCGUUGAGAUGGCCUCGCGUCCGAUUAGCUAGUUGGUGAGGUAAUGGCCCACCAAGGCGACGAUCGGUAGACGGACUGAGAGGUUGAACGGCCACAGUGGGACUGAGACACGGCCCAGAAUCCUACGGGAGGCAGCAGUGGGGAAUAUAGCACAAUGGGGGAAACCCUGAUGCAGCGACGCCGCGUGGAGGAAGAAGGUGGUCGGAUUGUAAACUCCUGUUGUUGGGGAAGAUAAUGACGGUACCCAACAAGGAAGUGACGGCUAACUACGUG
rnacentral:rRNA from 1 species